GUUGAAACAGCGGUUCCUGUACGAUCGCCGAAGUUAAGCAUCAUUGAGCCUGGUCAGUCCCUAGAUGGAUGACCGCUUAGGAAUACCGGAUGUUAUA